AGUAAAAGAAAUUUUUCGAAUAUUGAAUGGAUAUAAAUAGAAUUAUCUUGAAAAUAUGUCUGAAGCAUGUUUCACUGCAGAGUCAGCUGUUUUAGACUUGCAGAAAUCGCUUGGAAGGAUUUCUAGUUCGUUAAAAAUAACUGACGAAAGUUUUUCAUAUAUAAAAAGGAAAAAAAAAAAAAAAGAUAAAGGUAUAAUAGGAAUGAACUUCUUUCUAGGAGGAAAAAAAGAAAAAAAUUCGAUUGUAUCUUUGGUUUCUGUUUUUACAUUUAUUCGUCAUCGAGGUCGAUUCUUGGCUUUUUUACUUCACGGUUUGUUUCAGUAGAAUUUUUAUUUAGACCGAGCGUGAUAUUUUGCAAAAUCGUGAAUCACGAAGAUUGUUAAACACGUUACUAAUGCUCAUUAAGUUGUUAAGUGACACAGUUUUUGUCACAUAAAAUCGCGCGUAUCGGAACGAAAUCCGUGUAAUUAUUUGACUUUACUUCUUUUUAUUUUUAUUUUUCCUUUAUUUCCUUUUCUGUUUGUGUAAAACUAAUUAUAGUUGUCAUUUAAAACUUUUACUCCUGCGAAUCUCUAAGAAUGCUACUUGUAUACACGCUUAAUGUAAAGUUAGAAGUCGGAUUUACAAGACAUAAUUAAAACUUUUGUAAUAAAAUAUCUCCGGAAAUGACAAAAAGAAAACAGCGAUGAAGAUGACAAUCUGCAAACAAACAGAACAAUUUUAUAAUUAAAAUCUAAUUACAAAUACCAUUCACUGGUAACAAUAAGUAUCGACUUUGUCUCCUUUACUUUGUUUCUCUUUAUUAAUUGAAUUUUAUUGGAUUUUUCUUUGUUUUCUCUUAAACAUGACAUGUUCCAGAUCUUGUAGAAAAUUUCGGAUUUCGACACUGCAUUAAUUGUCACGAUCGAAAAUUACUUAAAGCUUUUAAUUAAAAUAUACUACUAUUCUUUAAAAAUUUUCUCUUCGAUUUUCGAGAGCAAGGUUCUCUUUAAAAUUCUUGGAGUGCGAGUGUUUUUCUCCAUAAAACUCGCAAUUAAAGAGUUUUAAAAUAUAUUAAUAUCCACUUGUGUGUGUGUGUGUGUGUGGCGAACACGACUAUUUUUAUGUAAUUAAUGCUUUUAAUUUUCUUCCUUUUUUUUUUCCUUGGUACGUAUAUUGACUGUUUUCUUCCAUAACAAGAAGCGAAUUAUUGAAUGACUUGUCAUGUUGUCAGCCGGCUUCUUGACACGAGUGCUUUUAUGUCGAGUUUAUCUAUUUGACGACCGACUUCUAAUUAUCGUCUUUUCCAUAAUCUCCGAUUAUUAAGCAAGAAAGAAUAAAAAAAUAAUAAUAAGGAAAAAAAAAAAAUACAGCGCAACAAUGACAUACCACUAAUGACUUGUCAGGAU
rnacentral:lncRNA from 1 species